rnacentral:rRNA from 1 species
UAUCUCUGUAGAGUCUGCAUAUCAAUAAGCGGAGGAAAAGAAACUAACUAGGAUUCCCUCAGUAACGGCGAGUGAAGCGGGAAGAGCUCAAAUUUGAAAUCUUCAAGGUUCUACCUUGACGAAUUGUAGUUUAGAGAAGUGUUUUCUGUUGGUGUUUUGGUAAAAGUUCUUUGGAAUAGGACAUCAUAGAGGGUGAGAAUCCCGUAUUUGACCAUUACUUCCAGCGUUGUGAUACACUUUCAAGGAGUCGGAUUGUUUGGGAAUGCAGUCCAAAAUGGGUGGUAAAUUUCAUCUAAAGCUAAAUAUUGGCGAGAGACCGGUAGCGAACAAGUACCGUGAGGGAAAGAUGAAAAGAACUUUGAAAAGAGAGUUAAACAGUACGUGAAAUUGUCAAAAGGGAAGCGUUUGACACCAGUGUUGUUUUCUCGAAAAUCAAUUAAAAAAGGCAGGAUUUUGUGUUGUAUUGACUUUAUCAGCUUUCUGCACUCUUUUCUUGUCUUUUUUAAUGCACUUUUCGUUUAACAAGUCAACAUCAAUUUCUUUUGUUGUAAAAGGGUCAUUGGAAGGUGGCUUUCUUUUCGGAGAAAGUGUUUAUAGCCUUUGGCCUCUGCAAUCGGAGAGAUUGAGGUCUGCAGCGUAGAUCCUUCGGGGUUAGAUACAUUUGUGCUAAGUUAUAGCCUUUCAUAGACAACUUGUUGACUAUGAUCAGUCAUGUAGCUUACUCGCUUAUGCUAUUUUACCUACGCUUAGGAUGUUGAAGAUGUAGCACAUCA